rnacentral:rRNA from 1 species
AGUGAACGCUGGCGGUAGGCCUAACACAUGCAAGUCGAACGGCAGCACAGUAAGAGCUUGCUCUUACGGGUGGCGAGUGGCGGACGGGUGAGGAAUACAUCGGAAUCUACUUUUUCGUGGGGGAUAACGUAGGAAAACUUACGCUAAUACCGCAUACGACCUACGGGUGAAAGCAGGGGAUCUUCGGACCUUGCGCGAUUGAAUGAGCCGAUGUCGGAUUAGCUAGUUGGCGGGGUAAAGGCCCACCAAGGCGACGAUCCGUAGCUGGUCUGAGAGGAUGAUCAGCCACACUGGAACUGAGACACGGUCCAGACUCCUACGGGAGGCAGCAGUGGGGAAUAUUGGACAAUGGGCGCAAGCCUGAUCCAGCCAUACCGCGUGGGUGAAGAAGGCCUUCGGGUUGUAAAGCCCUUUUGUUGGGAAAGAAAAGCAGUAGGUUAAUACCCCGCUGUUCUGACGGUACCCAAAGAAUAAGCACCGGCUAACUUCGUG